UGGGGAAUAUUGGACAAUGGGGGGAACCCUGAUCCAGCCAUGCCGCGUGUGUGAAGAAGGCCUUAUGGUUGUAAAGCACUUUAAGCGAGGAGGAGGGUACUGGUAUUAAUACUACCAGCUACUGGACGUUACUCGCAGAAUAAGCACCGGCUAACUCUGUGCCAGCAGCCGCGGUAAUACAGAGGGUGCGAGCGUUAAUCGGAUUUACUGGGCGUAAAGCGUGCGUAGGCGGCUAAUUGAGUCGGAUGUGAAAUCCCCGAGCUUAACUUGGGAAUUGCAUUCGAUACUGGUUAGCUAGAGUGUGGGAGAGGAGGGUAGAAUUCCAGGUGUAGCGGUGAAAUGCGUAGAGAUCUGGAGGAAUACCGAUGGCGAAGGCAGCCAUCUGGCCUAACGCUGACGCUGAGGUACGAAAGCAUGGGGGGCAAACAGG
rnacentral:rRNA from 1 species